GGUUUGGAGCGAGACCCAGAUUCAUGCAAGCUGCCAGAGUGAGACCAGAGCCCCAGCACUCAGAGCGCUCAUCUCAUCUCCUCUCCUCUCCUCUCCUCUCCUCUCCUCUCAUCUCAUCUCAUCUCAUCUCAUCUCAUCUCAUCUCAUCUCAUCUCCUCUCCUCUCAUCAUCUCAUCUCAUCUCUCAUCUCCUCUCAUCUCCUCUCAUCUCAUCUCAUCUCAUCUCCUCCUCUCCUCUCCUCUCCUCUCCUCUCCUCUCCUCUCCUCUCCCUCUCCUCUCAUCUCUCAUCUCCUCUUCAUCUCAUCUCAUCUCAUCUCCUCUCCUCUCCUCUCCUCUCCUCUCCUCUCCUCUCCUCUCCUCUCAUCUCAUCUCAUCUCAUCUCAUCUCCUCUCCUCUCAUCUCAUCUCUCAUCUCCUCUCCUCUCCUCUCCUCUCCUCUCAUCAUCUCAUCUCAUCUCUUCAUCUCCUCUCAUCUCCUCUCAUCUCAUCUCAUCUCAUCUCCUCCUCUCCUCUCCUCUCCUCUCCUCUCCUCUCCUCUCCUCUCCUCUCCUCUCCUCUCCUCUCAUCUCUCAUCUCCUCUUCAUCUCAUCUCAUCUCAUCUCCUCUCCUCUCCUCUCCUCUCCUCUCCUCUCCUCUCCUCUCCUCUCAUCUCAUCUCAUCUCCUCUCCUCUCAUCUCUCAUCUCCUCUUCAUCUCAUCUCAUCUCAUCUCCUCUCCUCUCCUCUCCUCUCCUCUCCUCUCCUCUCCUCUCAUCUCAUCUCAUCUCAUCUCAUCUCAUCUCAUCUCAUCUCAUCUCCUCUCCUCUCCUCUCAUCUCCUCUCAUCUCCUCUCCUCUCCUCUCAUCUCAUCUCAUCUCAUCUCAUCUCCUCUCCUCUCCUCUCCUCUCCUCUCCUCUCCUCUCCUCUCCUCUCCUCUCAUCUCCUCUCCUCUCCUCUCCUCUCCUCUCCUCUCCUCUCCUCUCAUCAUCUCAUCUCAUCUCAUCUCAUCUCAUCUCAUCUCAUCUCCUCUCAUCUCAUCUCAUCUCCUCUCAUCCUGCUGGAGGUCUGGAGAACGGGUGGGACAUCGGAAUAUUAAAGUCACGCUGGAAUCAUUAUCCCAGAUCCUAACGCCUAAUGCUAUGCGUUCUGGCUUUUGGGCU
rnacentral:lncRNA from 1 species